ACUGUGUUUAACCACAACCAACAUGUUGGAUCUCUGUUUAGGGGUCAGUGCUCUAAAAUGAGUCUCUCUGGGGAGAGAGAGGAGGGGGGCCCUGCCUAUAAAAUGAGUCUCUCUGGGGAGAGAGAGGAGGGGGGCCCUGCCUAUAAAAUGAGUCUCUCUUGGGAGAGAAAGGAGGGGGGCCCUGCAUCUAAAAUGAGUCUCUCUGGGGAGAGAGAGGAGGGGGGCCCUGCCUCUAAAAUGAGUCUCUCUGGGGAACAUGACACCAAAGCUAAGAGUCCAAUCAGGCAGGAGAGACCAGCCUCCCCUGUUCCCAGCUGUGUGUCCAUGAAGAGUGACCGGUCUAUGAAUCCUCCUAUAGAGUUUAGAGAGGGAGACUUUUCUACUGAACAAAGACCAAUCAAGCAGGAGAGACCAGCCUCCCCUGUUCCCAGCUGUGUGUCCAUGAAGAGUGACGGGUCUAUGGGUCAACCUCUAUACUUUAGAGAGGGAGACUUUUCUACUGAACAAAGGUAAGAAGAACUCAUGGGUCCUGGUCAGUGAGUUAAACAACACUGUCUCUAGUCAUUUCUCCUCUCCCAUUUUCCCA